rnacentral:rRNA from 1 species
GAUGAACGCUAGCGGGAGGCUUAACACAUGCAAGUCGAGGGGUAAAUGGUAGCAAUACUAUGAGACCGGCGAACGGGUGCGUAACGCGUAUGCAACUUACCUUAUGCAGGGGGAUAGCCCGUGGAAACGCGGAUUAAUAUCCCAUAGAUCAGUAAUAUCGCAUGGUAUAACUGGUAAAACUCAGGUGGCAUAAGAUGGGCAUGCGUCUGAUUAGCUAGUUGGUAGGGUAACGGCCUACCAAGGCGACGAUCAGUAGGGGUUCUGAGAGGAUUAACCCCCACACUGGUACUGAGACACGGACCAGACUCCUACGGGAGGCAGCAGUCGAGAAUAGUCUACAAUGGUCGAAAGACUGAUAGUGCGACGCCGCGUGAACGAAGAAGCCCUUCGGGGUGUAAAGUUCUUUUAUAUGUGAGCAAUGCCUUUUAUGUGAAUAGCAUGAGAGGAGCGAUAUUAGCAUAUGAAUAAGCAACGGCUAACUCCGUGCC